rnacentral:rRNA from 1 species
GUCGUUAUUUGUUGUGKGUGUGCGUKGUUGGUAGCAUGCGUGUUUGCUUACGCUUUGGUGUUUUGCGAGUGUGUGUGUUUGUCGGUGCGCAGACUGAACGAAAGGUCGUGUGUUGCUGUGUGUCUGCUGCAACUGCUGACUUUGCAUUGAUUUGCAUGGUGUUGGCGGAGCGGGCGGGGUGCUGUUGCAUGCGCGGCUGACCUAUUUUUUUCAAACCCCAUACCUAAAUGACUGAUUAUACUGUGAGAAACGAAAGUUCUUGCUUUUAACUAGAUAACAACUUUCAGCAGUGGAUGUCUAGGCUCGCACAUCGAUGAAGAACGCUGCGAACUGCGAUACGUAAUGCGAAUUGCAGAAUUCAGUGAGUCAUCGAAAUUUUGAACGCAUAUUGCACUUCCGGGUUAUGCCUGGAAGUAUGUCUGUAUCAGUGUCCGUAAAUCAAACUUGCGUUUCUUCCUUCCGUGUAGUCGGUGGAGGAGAGUUGCAGAUGUGAAGUGUCUCGCUGUGGUUGGUGUUUGUUGUUUGCAAUGAAUGCACAGCUUGCGAGUCCUUUUAAAUGGACACGACUUUCUCUUUUUUGUAUGUGCGCGGUGCUGUGCGUGAACGCGGUGGUUUUCGGAUCGCUCGCGGCUGUCGGCGACUUCGGUGAAUGCAUAAUGGAGUGGACCUCGAUUCGCGGUAUGUUGGGCUUCGGCUGGACAAUGUUGCUUAUUGUGUGUCUGUUCCGUGUUCGCCUUGAGGUGUACUGAUGGCUGUGGGAUUGAACUGGUUACUGUUGUUAGUAGUGUGUGUAGCACGUUGUCGUGGAUGCAUCUGUGUUUUUGCAUACUUGUGUGUGWGCAAKUGUACAGAAGAGGAGUCUCAAUUUGGGAAAA